rnacentral:rRNA from 1 species
AGAGUUUGAUCCUGGCUCAGAUUGAACGCUGGCGGCAGGCCUAACACAUGCAAGUCGAGCGGUAGAGAGAAGCUUGCUUCUCUUGAGAGCGGCGGACGGGUGGGUAAUGCCUAGGAAUCUGCCUGGUAGUGGGGGAUAACGUUCGGAAACGGACGCUAAUACCGCAUACGUCCUACGGGAGAAAGCAGGGGACCUUCGGGCCUUGCGCUAUCAGAUGAGCCUAGGUCGGAUUAGCUAGUUGGUGAGGUAAUGGCUCACCAAGGCGAUGAUCCGUAACUGGUCUGAGAGGAUGAUCAGUCACACUGGAACUGAGACACGGUCCAGACUCCUACGGGAGGCAGCAGUGGGGAAUAUUGGACAAUGGGCGAAAGCCUGAUCCAGCCAUGCCGCGUGUGUGAAGAAGGUCUUCGGAUUGUAAAGCACUUUAAGUUGGGAGGAAGGGCAGUAAAUUAAUACUUUGCUGUUUUGACGUUACCGACAGAAUAAGCACCGGCUAACUCUGUGCCAGCAGCCGCGGUAAUACAGAGGGUGCAAGCGUUAAUCGGAAUUACUGGGCGUAAAGCGCGCGUAGUGGUUUGUUAAGUUGGAUGUGAAAUCCCCGGGCUCAACCUGGGAACUGCAUUCAAACUGACUGACUAGAGUAUGGUAGNGGUGGUGGAAUUUCCUGUGUACCGG